rnacentral:rRNA from 1 species
CCUUGUACACACCGCCCGUCACACCAUGGGAGUUGGAUUCACCCGAAGGCGUUGCGCUAACCCGUAAGGGACGGCAGGCGACCACGGUGGGUUUAGCGACUGGGUG